GAGCCGGACCAGGUCGAGGGCCACCUGAGUACCCGAAGGAGCGGCCUCGAGUCCCCCCUGCUCCUUCCAUCAGGUGCUGCAGUUGUUAAGGGCGCUGUCCCGCAGAACUGAGGUCCCUUGUGGCUGCUAGCAACCCCAGGGACUAUUUCACCCUCUGAUAACAGACCGUUGGGGUUUCUUGCAUUGUUAAUCAUAGAAUGGCUUGUGUUGGAAGGGACCUGAAAGAUCAUCUAAUUGCAACCUCCGUUUGCAGAGAAUCAUAGAAUGGCUUGGGCUGGAAAGGACCCCAAGGAUCACCAAGUUCCAACCUCCCGCAGAGUCACCAACCUCCAUAUCCCUCCAUAUCUUCUCCUGGACCAGGCUGCCCAGGGCCCCAUCCGAUCU